rnacentral:rRNA from 1 species
UCCGGUUGAUCCUGCCGGAGGUCAUUGCUAUUGGGGUCCGAUUUAGCCAUGCUAGUUGCACGAGUUUAGACUCGUGGCGAAAAGCUCAGUAACACGUGGUCAAACUACCCUACGAAGACCCAUAACCUCGGGAAACUGAGGCUAAUAGGUCAUAGGUGAGUUACGCUGGAAUGCCAACUCUCCCAAACGCUCAGGCGUCGUAGGAUGUGGCUGCGGCCGAUUAGGUAGACGGUGGGGUAACGGCCCACCGUGCCGAUAAUCGGUACGGGUUGUGAGAGCAAGAGCCCGGAGACGGAAUCUGAGACAAGAUUCCGGGCCCUACGGGGCGCAGCAGGCGCGAAACCUUUACACUGCACGCAAGUGCGAUAAGGGGACCCCAAGUGCGAGGGCAUAUAGUCCUCGCUUUUUCCGACCGUAAGGUGGUCGGCGAAUAAGGGCUGGGCAAGACCGGUGCCAGCCGCCGCGGUAAUACCGGCAGCCCAAGUGAUGACCGAUAUUAUUGGGCCUAAAGCGUCCGUAGCCGGCCANUGGGCAAGACCGGUGCCAGCCGCCGCGGUAAUACCGGCAGCCCAAGUGAUGACCGAUAUUAUUGGGCCUAAAGCGUCCGUAGCCGGCCACGAAGGUUCAUCGGGAAAUCCGCCAGCUCAACUGGCGGGCGUCCGGUGAAAACCACAUGGCUUGGGACCGGAAGGCUCGAGGGGUACGUCCGGGGUAGGAGUGAAAUCCCGUAAUCCUGGACGGACCACCGAUGGCGAAAGCACCUCGAGAAGACGGAUCCGACGGUGAGGGACGAAAGCUAGGGUCUCGAACCGGAUUAGAUACCCGGGUAGUCCUAGCUGUAAACGAUGCUCGCUAGGUGUGGCACAGGCUACGAGCCUGUGCUGUGCCGUAGGGAAGCCGAGAAGCGAGCCGCCUGGGAAGUACGUCCGCAAGGAUGAAACUUAAAGGAAUUGGCGGGGGAGCACUACAACCGGAGGAGCCUGCGGUUUAAUUGGACUCAACGCCGGACAUCUCACCAGCUCCGACUAUAGUAAUGACGGUCAGGUUGAUGACCUUGCCACGACGCUAUAGAGAGGAGGUGCAUGGCCGCCGUCAGCUCGUACCGUGAGGCGUCCUGUUAAGUCAGGCAACGAGCGAGACCCGCACUUCUAAUUGCCAGCAACAGUUUCGACUGGUUGGGUACAUUAGAAGGACUGCCGCUGCUAAAGCGGAGGAAGGAACGGGCAACGGUAGGUCAGUAUGCCCCGAAUGAGCUGGGCUACACGCGGGCUACAAUGGCUGAGACAAUGGGUUGCUAUCUCGAAAGAGAACGCUAAUCUCCUAAACUCAGUCGUAGUUCGGAUUGAGGGCUGAAACCCGCCCUCAUGAAGCUGGAUUCGGUAGUAAUCGCAUUUCAGAAGAGUGCGGUGAAUACGUCCCUGCUCCUUGCACACACCGCCCGUCAAAGCACCCGAGUGAGGUCCGGAUGAGGCCACCACACGGUGGUCGAAUCUGGGCUUCGCAAGGGGGCUUAAGUCGUAACAAGGUAGCCGUAGGGGAAUCUGCGGCUG